CCUACGGGUGGCAGCAGUGGGGAAUAUUGGACAAUGGGCGAAAGCCUGAUCCAGCCAUGCCGCGUGUGUGAAGAAGGCCUUCGGGUUGUAAAGCACUUUCAGUGGGGAAGAAAGCCUUGGGGCUAAUACCCUCGAGGAAGGACAUCACCCACAGAAGAAGCACCGGCUAACUCCGUGCCAGCAGCCGCGGUAAUACGGAGGGUGCGAGCGUUAAUCGGAAUUACUGGGCGUAAAGCGCGCGUAGGCGGUCUGAUAAGCCGGUUGUGAAAGCCCCGGGCUCAACCUGGGAACGGCAUCCGGAACUGUCAGGCUAGAGUGUAGGAGAGGAAGGUAGAAUUCCCGGUGUAGCGGUGAAAUGCGUAGAGAUCGGGAGGAAUACCAGUGGCGAAGGCGGCCUUCUGGACUGACACUGACGCUGAGGUGCGAAAGCGUGGGUAGCAAACAGGAUUAGAUACCCCUGUAGUC
rnacentral:rRNA from 1 species